AAAAGGGUAACUGAAGCAACAAAGCCUCAACCCAAGAGACCCCGUGCUAAUGGUGUGGGAUAUGGCCCGCGUGUCACUAACAUUCUAUCUGACAAAACUUCUUAUGCUAGAGUUGCUGACAGGUAUCCUCAAUACGUGUAUGACCGACCUUACAUGUACCCUGCACCAACUGACAAUCACUGCCCUCCUCUCAUGGGUUCUGCAACUUAUAACAUCUCUCCUAAUCCUGGCAACUACUUUGGAAAUGGCUAUCAGUACCAAGCUACAUAUCUCCACUAGUUAGCACAGAUGAUGGUGAACUGAUGACUAAGAAGCUACAUAUCCCUUUGUUUAAUAUUUAGUCUUAAGUCUUAACCCUUAAGCUGUUGUAUGUUGCACUUUAUCUAUGUAGUCUUUAAGAAUUGCUGAAACAGGUAAAAUGUCAUGUUAAAUUUUAACUUCUGUGCUAGAAGAUAUUCUGAUCCUCUAAUGUAUGUACUCUGUUCUCGUUUUGUAAAAUAUCUUUCUUUGUUUCUUAGAUCUGAGAUCUGUGAUUGUCAUUUUUCACUGAAUCUAACAAACUACAGUUUUAUGACUUGUUUCAUGUUUUCCUCUCCAGUAAAGUGUAUAUCAUCUAUCUACGUCACGGAGACGGGUAAAUUUUGAGAAAUCUUAGGGUGUGUUUGAUUUGCAUUUUUAUUUUCUGUUUUCAUUUUCUCAAAACUAUUUUCAUUUUCAAAAUAUUAGAAUUCUGAAAACAUGUUUGGUUUGACUUCUUGUUUUCUGUUUUCAAGAAAUAAAAACACUGAAAAUGCGUUUUCAAAAGGAAAUGUAUUUUUAGAUUUGCUUAAAAUUACAUUCUUUGUCAUCGCGUUUUCAUUUUAUCCAAAAUGAGGUUCCUAGUUUUGACUGAAAACGAGAUUUUAUUGUUUUCAGUUUUUAGUUCAUUUGGAAAAAUAUUUUCACUGAAAAUGAAAACAGAAAUCCAAUCAAACACAUUUUCAUCGUCAUUUUUUAUUUCCAGUGAAAAUGAAAACAAAAAAUAACCAAACCAAACACCCCCUUAAAUUUUGGAAAGUUCAUGAAAUCUAAUUUGAUCCAAUGCACAUUGUUUUGAAGAUUGAAGGUCUUACGUUGUAUGUUUUGUUCCAUCACUUUGGUAAUCAAAUUUCUGACUUUUAGACCAAAUUGUUGAGAUUAGUCCCUGUUUUUUUUUUGGCAAAAUUGUAUUUUUGGUUCCUCAGUUUAUCUCCAGUUUCGAAUUUGGUCCUCAAGUAAUUUAAUUCACAAAUUUGGUCUCCUUAUUUUGUAAAAUUGUGCAAUGUUGAUCCCCUAGGUCACAAUUGGACGUUAAUCGUUAACAAGUGAUGUCGACUGUCACGUGUCACGUUCUUAUUGAAUGAUGACUGCCACGUGUCAUGUUUUGAUUGAUCAAUGAAAACAAUAAUUUAUUUCUUUCAUGGAGUUGAUAUCCAAUCAGAACAUGACACGUGGCAAUCAACAUCACUUGUUAACCUCAACGUCCAAUUAUGGUCUGGAGGACCAACAUUGCACAAUUUUACAAAAUAGAAGGACCAAAUUUGUGAAUAUUAGUGGGGGACCAAAUCCAAAACUGGAGAUAAACUGAUAAAUCAAAUUUACAAUUUUGCCUUUUUUUUUAACUCGACUUUUUCUUUUUUUUCAUUUUUUGUUCACCACUAAGUUAAUCUUAUAAUUCGUUUCCCAUUGAGAUUAGUUCCUUGUUGAAAUUGAAAAAGGAAGUGAUAGUAAUAUAUUGUUUUUAACACUUAUGUGUAUUAAAUUUAUUGAAAAACUAGUCGGUAACCCGUGCAUACGCACGGGUCAUUUUGCUAAAUGAUUUUCGAUGAAAGAAUUAAAAGAAAGGUAUUGUAAAAAAAACAAAAAGACUAACAUUCAUAUAUUAUUAUCAUCAUCAUCAUCAUCAUCAUGUAGGCUUUGGGUUCCUUAAAAAAAAUACACUUUGGGACUUUAUUAUUCAACAUUGCCCUGUGAAUCCUAUUGUUGCAACCCUUGCAUGGACAAAACACAAUCAUCUUCAGUACCACCGUUGUUACGGCAGGUUGUCCCAAAAAUCAAACCACAAAAAAACAGACCAAAAAAAGUAAAAGAAUCGUAAUCAAAAUCGCAAAAAAUAGAAUGAAGAUCAGAAGAGAACUCUAUCAAAAUUAGAAAAUCCAACACACACAACACAUUCCAAUCUUCAAAGCAAACUCACUCAUUUGAUAUUGUGAUUCUCUUGCUCCAUUGUGCCCACCAAAGAUGCAACACACUUGUUGGGAAUAACAACCGUGUCCUAUUUAUUUACAAAAACAAAAUUAAAAUAUCAAAAUAACAAAAACAAAAGAUGGAUGAAAGUCGGAGAAAGAAAAGAUUAACGAAAAGAGAGAGUAUUAAGGAAGAAAAAGAGAUAAAUGGAAUAAGAGAAGAUUCGGGAUUUGAGCCAGGUUAUUAAGCGAAAUUAAAUGGGAAAUUGAAAUCCGCCAAUUAGAGAAUGACACACACCAGGAACCUUAAAGAAAAAUAUCUCAAUGUUCACUCCCGACCUUACAACAUAAAAAAGAGUCUUCAGCUAGAGCAUGCAUAAUAAUAACAACAACAACAACAACAACAACAACAAUAAAAUUAAAUAGAAUUCUAAUCCAGCUUCCUGCACCAACAAUAAAUUUUAUGAUUUAAAAUGUAAAACUGAAGUAUGAUAUAAACAGUAUAAAUAGCAGUAUACUUUUGGAGGCUCCUAUAAUUGUUAAUAAUAAUAAUAAUAAUAAUAAUAAAUCAUUUUAGGUAUGGGCACAACAGGUAUAUCUCUUUUAUUAGAUAGUUUAUUGCAAGAAGCUGGAUUAGGAUUUUAUUUAAUUUUAUUGUUGUUGUUGUUAUUAUAUUAUUAUUAUCAUUAUUAUUUUUAUUGUUAUAAUUAUUAUUAUUAUUAUUAUUAUUAUUAUUAUUAUUAUUAUUAAUUUUCAUUUUUGUUUUUGUGAUUCUGAUGGUUGGGUGAUUAUUUGUUUAAAAGGCUGCAUUAGGUUCUCCUUAGGACGAUAUCACGACUCGCGAGCUUCGAGCCUCACCUUUCUGGCAACAAAGGUGGCGAGAUUCCGACAAAGCGAUGAGAGAAAAAGUUGAAACUGCGCUUUUUAGAGAGAGAAUUUCAUUUUGGUUUUGGAGAAGGAAGAACACGCUUCUGAAGAAGGAAUAGGUAAACGAUAAUACAAAAAAUGGGUUUUCGGAGAUGGGAGGAAGCGUGUUGCACGUCCACAUCGACAUGAUUGGAGAAGCCUGGACAGAGAGACACGUGGGAGAGGCAACAGGAGAAUUAAGUGAAAUUAAAUGGAGAGUUAGAAAAUGAAACACGAAUUAAUAAGAAUGAAGAAAGAAGAGAUAAAUCCAUAGCAGAAUAGCAUGAAAUUUGAAAUUGAAGUACCUCUCAAAUAGCUUGAACCUUCCAUCAAAAUAAUAAUAAUCAUAAUAAUAAUAAACAUGCAUAAAACAAAGCACAAAGAAAGAAACUUGUCGACCGGAUAUUUUUUCGUGGAUCACCUUGCGAGCAGGAAAAUCAGAAAGGAAAAAAAAACAGGAAAUAUCAGUAAGGAAGGAAAAACAUGAAACAAACUAAAUAAUAAUAAUAAUAAUGAUAAUAAUGAUAAUAAUAAUAAUAAUAAUAAUAAUAAUAUUUCCUUUUGCUGAUUUUGCACCUCGAGUUGUACAUCCACUCAACAAAACAUCAAUUUAUUUUCUUCCCUAAUCCUUUUUAUUUAUUUUCUGAUUAGAAAACAAACUAAGAAACUAUAGGAGAAUAGAACUUACAUCAUAAUAAUAAUAAUAAUAAUAAUAAUAAUAAUAAUAAUAAUAAUAAACAUGCAUAAAACAAAGCACACAGAAAGAAACUUGAUGGUUGAAUGUAAUCAAAUGUAAUAAUGACAAAAAUAUGAUACAAUGAUUCAACAAUUAAUUACGUGUAUAUUAAUAUUUAAUGAAUUGUUAUAUAUAGUAAUCAAUUAUUAUAUGCUAAUAAAUGUAACGAAAGUCAUAAUUUUUUUAAGCUGAAUCAUCAUUUGUUAUGAUGAUUUGAUUGGAUAACAAUUAAAGUAAUUAAAAAAAUUCAAUUGAAAUAAUAUGUUUACUAUUACUAUUAGCAUCAACAUUGAAUAAAUUAAAUAAAUAUUAAUUGAUUACAUAUUAAUAAUUUAAUAAAUAAAUUAAUAAUAACAGUUAAAGUAUUAUAUAUUAACCUUAAUGAUACGAUAAUUCAAAUACAAAUUAGAAAUUUUAAAAUCUUGCAUGAUUUCAGUUUCAAUUUUAUAGACACAAUAAAGAAAAACAUGAAACAAACAACUAUAACUAAAUAAUAAUAAUAAUAAUAAUAAUAAUAUUGCCUUUUGCUGAUACAGUGCCUCCAGUUGUACAUCAACUCAACAAAGCAUCAAUUUAUUUUCUUCCCAGAUCCUUUUUAUUUAUUUUCUGAUUAGAAAACAAACUAAGAAACUAUAGAAGAACAGAACUUACAUAAUAAUAAUAAUAAUUUGUAGAGAAUGACAAGGUGGUGGAGUCUUGGGAUGCGUGUAAAUCAAAGGGGAGGGAGAAGAAAAAGGAGGAUGAAGGGGGUGCGCCUGAGGCUGGGUGUUGGGUUAGGUUGAGGUUCAUUUUGGGAGCUGCAUUUCUUCAAGAUCCAAGGUUGAUACCUCAGUCAGUGACACUGGCACCAGCACUCAUUAUGGUAAAUUCAUCACUAUUUUACUCUUAUUUCAUGCUUUUAUUUAUUUAUUUAUUUUUAUAUACUUCUAUUGGUUUUUUAAAGCAUACAUUGAAUAUUUUCCUUGUAAUUAAAGGAUCAUAUGCGUGGAAUGAUGUUAAAGUUGAAAAUAUUAAUGCUGUAUAACUACUAUUAUGAAUAAUUUUAUGACAGAAACUUGAUGUAAUGUGUAGGAUCCAAGCGCCACGAAUACAGAGAAAUUUCUAGUCUUUUUCCGAUAGUUGAUAUCCAAUUCCAAGCUCUGGAUUUAAUAGCAACUAUAAUAGAAUCUAGAUUACAUCUUCCUUGUUUGAAAAUAGUUGCAUUUCUAUUCAUUUCCAAUCAACUUGUUGGUUACUCAUGUUUAAAGAUAGAAAUAAAGAGAAGUAACCCCGCAAAGUAAAUAAUUAUGCUAUAAGAUUAUAUAGUUUUUUUAUCAGCGCUAUAAGAUUAUAUAUAAUUUGUAGUAUAAUAAAAUUUUAGUGUUAAUUUCAUUGCUAUAACAGAUUUGUAAUUCCUUUUGGGCUAUUGAAUAACUAUUCAAAGGUGUAGUAUAAGAUGCUAGCAAAAUGUGUUUCAACCAUAAAGUUAAAAUAACAAUCACAUUUCAGAUCAUGCUUCUAUUGAGAAAAUAAUCAAGAUAUUUCAAUUCUGAUCAUAAGUAUCAAAUGACAUGUUGAUGUUCAAUUAUUCCCUAAUAAGUCCCCUAGCUAGCAACAAAUAACUCCAAAAAUUAAAAUUAUAUAGCAGUUAGUUAGUUAGAAUCAACUAAGCAAAUGCCUCUUUAACAUGAUCUCAUUCUAAUUCUUCCCUCGUGAAUGGAAUAGGUGUGGUAGUCCUCUGUGGGGUCAAACCAAAGCAUGUGCCUCAUCUUACGCCCACCAGUCUCAUUCUUAUAUACAUUAGUUUGAAUCAAAUAUGACUCUCCUGUUUUGUUCCCCAAAAACUCAAAAUCAAGCUCAUCUCUUUUUGGCCCCGCACCAUUUUCUGAGCACAUCUGCAACAAUUCCCAACUCAUCACAAUGGAAUCAUAGAAACAUAGAGGGAAACUCAUUAAAAAAUAAACAAUGUAUAAGUGGAUAAAACAUAGAAGCAUUCUCAAAAAAGAAAAAGGCCCUAAAUAAUAAAUAAAUUGAAGCCAACAGUUUAUCCUUGUAUAAUAAUAAUAAUAAUAAUAAUAAUAAUAAUAAUAAUAAUAAUAAUAAUAAUAAUAAUAAUAAUAAUAAUAAUAAUAAUAAUAAUAAUAAUAAUAAUAAUAAUAAUAAUAAUAAUAAUAAUAAUAAUAAUAAUAAUAAUAAUAAUAAUAAUAAUAAUAAUAAUAAUAAUAAUAAUAAUAAUAAUAAUAAUAAUAAUAAUAAUAAUAAUAAUAAUAAUAAUAAUAAUAAUAAUAAUAAUAAUAAUAAUAAUAAUAAUAAUAAUAAUAAUAAUAAUAAUAAUAAUAAUAAUAAUAAUAAUAAUAAUAAUAAUAAUAAUAAUAAUAAUAAUAAUCAUAAUAAUAAUAAUAAUAAUAAUAAUAAUAAUAAUAAUAAUAAUAGAGAAGAUGCAUCAUGAACCUGAAAGAGGGAUUCUGCAUAAUCAUUGAUAUUGUUCAUUACUCUGUGUUUCGCUUGCACCCUUCUAAACCUUCUCGAGGUAUCGUUGCUCCCUCUCUACAAUUAAACUGUUCUCAACAACAAAACAUGUAAAAAACACUUUUCACUGCUUGGGUUACACAAAAAGUUCCCAGAUUGUAAAAAACAGAUACAAAAUAAAAAAGAAACACGGAAUUGGGGUGGUGAGACCCAUAAUUAAAAGAUACAAAAAUUGAUAUAAAUCAAGAGAAGUUGUUGAAUCAAAUGACAAAAAGAUAAAACGAAGGGAAUUGAGAGAAACUAACGGAGUUCCAAUGAUUGUGGUGUUUACGUUGCAGGGGAAUGGUGGAACGGAAGAGUGCGGCCCUGAGAAAGGAAUGGAGAUUAAUAAUAACAAUACAAUAAUUAAUCAAAACAAAAAAUAACAAAAAUUAAGAAAGAGUACAAAUAAAACAUGUGUUUGUUCUAAACUUCAUUUUUUUUGCCCCACUGAACAAAGCAACAAUUAAUUUUCUACUCUUGCUUUAAAAAAAUUGAGAUUUUAAGGGUAAAAGUGUUGAAUCUCAAGUACCCGUAAAUCUAUUUCAGUUUUUUUUUGCUUUUUGCAAAAUAUUGAAACUUUAGGGGUAAAAAUGUUGAAUCUCAAGUACCUAUGAAGAUUGAAAGUUACAAACCUUUGUUGAUGUGCAAGAAUGAGUCAAUGUCUGGAUACUUCCUCGCGAGUGACGUUGCAAAACCAUGGAGCAGCAAAAACUACUUUAACUUAGAGCAACAAAACCAACAAAAUAACAAUGAAAAGAGCAUUCAAUAGCAAAAGAACAUUCAAUAGGCAAACAUGCAUAACAACAAAGCAAAAAAAAAAAAAAAAACUUUGCCUGCUGGAUGCUUCUUCAUCACCACGUUGCACAACCACCAAGCUGAAGAAAACUGAAGAAAGAAGAGAUGGGUUUUCUCAAUAGGAAAAGAACAUUCAAUAGGCAAGAUCAGUGUUACUAACAACAGGAAACAAACAUGCAUAACAACAAAGCAAAAAAAAAACCUUUCCUACUGGAUCCUUCUUGUGAGGAAAUUCGGAGAUGCAUUCCGUCUCCAUGAUUUAGAGAACCAUAGAAACUAACAGAUGCAUCAAAGAAAACAUAAAAAAUCGUCACUUCAACCUUGCGAGGCAAAAAAACAUGUUACCUGAAGCAAACAUAACCAAUGUACACAAAUUUCAUCAAAUCUACAACCUGAAAAAAUAAAAAUGCAAGAAAAAGAAGAAGAAAAAAUAUCACAUAUGAGAUUUUAGGAUAAAAAAGUUACCUUGGGAACUCUUUUUCUCGGGCGACGAUCCAUAUAAGUGUGAGGAAAUUCAGAGACGCGUUCCAUCGCCAUGAUUCAGAGAACCACGAAAACUCAAUUUUGUUGUUUUUGCUAUUCUUCUUGCUCAACUUCACAUUUUUAUGUAAAUCUUCAUCCUUGAUCCUCAAAUGACUCAUCUAAUUCUUGAGGGUAGUUUGGCAGCUAUCUCCCGCUGUUGUCUCAUAUCCCUCAUCUCGGUUCAUUGGAGAGCAUAAAGGGUCGAGUGCACUAUUGUUACCGGGUGUUCGAAAGCUGAUAGAAGACCUGACCUAACCAAAGAAGAGAACGUCAAAAAUAGAAAGAUAAAAGAUAAAAAAAAUAGGAGAAGAUUGAGGAAGAGAAAGAGAAAGAGGGAGAAAGAGAAGAUUGAGGAAUAAAGAGUAACGUGGAGAAGAUUGAGGAAGAGAAAGAUAAGAUUGAGGAAAUGAGAGUAACGUGGAGAAGAUUCAGGAAGAGAGAGGAGAGUUCUGAUCAUUAAGUGAAGUGAAAUUAAAUGGGGAGUUGAAAUCUGCCAAUCAGGGAGUGACAUAUGUUCGAAACUGCACAUGCAACGUGACACGUGGCAGGGGCAACAGAAAAAAGGUGCAAAAAAAUAAAGGGGCAAAAUGACCAAAAAACCAAAAAAAGUGACAUGUGUCGCAAUUCUAGGUAGGGACACAAUAGAUUUUUCCAUAGACUUCUCUUUUAUAGAUAGUAUAUAGAUUACAAAAUCAUAAGUGAGGUUAUUAAAUAAGGAGUAAGAUUCACAACCAAAUUGAGCAAAGGUGGUGACUUCGCGAUACUGUGUCAACAACAGACUUGUGUCAUAACUUUCAAUUAAGCAGGAGAUUCGACAUGACUCACAUAUAAGCUGAUGUUAAUAGCAGGUCUACUUCUGCGAUAAAAGAGCUCUGUUUCCAAACAUAUUUGUCUUUAUAACUUAAUAGAUUUUUGUUAAUAAUAGUGUUAGAUUGAUCACUAAUUUCGGUGAAAAUAAUUUUAUAUCAAUAUUAUGAUCCAAAAAAAAAAUGUUAGAUAACAUGAUAUUAGACUUCUCAAAAUAAAAUUUCAAUUCAUGUGUACAUGUUUGGAUUAAAGUUUAUGGAUUGACUUUUUGUAAAUUGAGUUUGUAAACAUAAUCUAAGUUUAAAAAAAUAUAAUACAUUUACAUAAAUCGAGAAAGAUAAUAAAUUUUUUUAGUAAAAUUAUUUCAUUAAUUCAUUUUUCAAUUAUUUUUAUUAGUAGGCAAGAAAAGCAUUAAACAAUCGAUUAAUUUGAAAUGAAGAAAGUAAAUUAAACAUUGUGAUGAAUAUUCAGUAAACAUUUUUUUGUUUUUAAUUAUUUAUCUAAUGUCUGCCUUAUAAUUAAUAAAAUAAUUCGUGCAGACAUUCUUGAAAAUUGAGUAUAAAAUAAAAACAAAAGCGUAACAGUUUCCGAGAAGAAUAUCUGUUUGUUAACUUUGUCGAAGACGCCGUCUAUUCGUAGUUUCCUUAAUCCUUUCCUCUGUCCGUUAACGGACAACGCCAACAACGCCAAAUCCAAAACGGAACUCUCAAAAUAGAAAUUGCUCAAAGAAGAAUGUAAGAUGUCUUUACGGUUCUUUCAAUUUUUAUUUCCUUCAGAAAUUAUAAAAUUGAUAGUUUUGAUCCUCCUAUAUUUUAGGCAAAAUUGCAUUUACUUUUUCAUGAUAUCCUCUUAAAUAAUGUUAAUUUCCUUUUUUAGAUUUUUUAAAAAAUCCACUUAUCUGAGAUAGCAUUUAAAAAGAAGCAUGUAUCAUUUUAUUUAAUGCAUAAAGAAGAUAAGCAUCUGUUUAAUUACUAAAAGAAGUAUGAGUGUUAUUUAAGAUGCCUUCACAAGAGAUCGAUGUAAUUUUUUUUUCUUUUUUAAUAAUUUGUGAACUCUUUCGUUGCAUUAAUUGUUUUUUAAUAUUUACGUUGGUUUAGUUUGUUCAAUAAAAUAGAAGGAAAACACACACAAAAAAGAAGUAAGACUCAUGCUAAAGUUCCAUUCAUCCAAAACCAAUAGAAAAAAAAAAUGAAGGAAUGAUAUUUUUUUAAAACAUCAAAGAGUCUUUAUUUUUUCAUACUUUUUUCUAUUUAAAACUAUUUAUUUCAUUUUAUAUAAUUUUUUUGUUUCACUUUCUUCCCAGUAAUAUAAUACAAGAAAGAAAAAAAUAAUUCUUUUUUAUUUUUUCUCUCUCUCUACUUAAUAAAUUAUCUCGUUUCCUAUUUUUUUCCUUCCUUUCCAAUUUUUUUUUUCAUUUUCUCACCUACUUGAGACUAAUUUUGGACAAAAUUUGAAAAUAAAAAAAAAGUAGAAGAAAAAAUAGUCAAGAAAGAUGACAGACACAGUGAGGUUUGCGACACUAUUAAUUAAACAAAUACUACCACCACACAUUCCUUUCUUCUUCUUCAUCAUCUUCUCACCUCUCUCUCUCUCUCUCCCUCCCUCCUAGGGUUUCACGUUUCCAUGUGAAAACGGAUUGAGAAUCUCUCUCUCAUUCUCUCUCUAUUUUAUAUUUUCUUUCACGUCAAUUAGGUAACUCUUCUCUCUCUCUCUCUCUCUCGUGUAAUUUUGUUUUUUUGCUGUCGGUUUAGAUCGGCUUUGUCUGCUUAUGCGGAACAAGAAUCCACUUUCUCCAUUCCUAGAUUGAGAGAUUUUGUAGCCAUUUUGCUCGAAAUCAGCUCUCGUAACUGCAUUUUGGUGAUUUUUGUGAUUUUCUUUUUAUGUUAUGGAAAUUAAUUAUUCUGUGAUUUUUAGUUGUUUUAGCUGUUAUUCAUUUUUUCGGUUUUUUUUUUUAAAUUGUCUUAAUUGAUGAGUGAAAAUGUUGUGCUGAUUUUGCUCCUGUUUCCAUUUUAGGGUUUUUUUGCUGGCGUGAUUCUGAAGGCUUGGAUCUGGAUAUCUUCUUUGGUAUGACUUUGCUUUGGCUAUUUUAGUAACUAAUUAAGCUGCCUGACAAAUUAUAAAGAAAUGAGUAGUUGAGGAUUCUGUGGAGGGUUAAAUUUGAUGUCAAAUAGUGAAGUGGAUUAAGCUCAGAUUUUGUUUUGAAAUUUUAGCUGGAGCGUUUUGAUGAUUUAAUAAUGCUAGCUUGCUCUUUCCUUUGUACUAUAAUGAGUUGUCUGUGAGGGUUAAUGUGAUAAAUUUUUUUCUUUCUUUCUUUUUCACUUGUAGUAUUAAUUUUAGCUGUAGAGUAUUGCACUAUUGCUAUUUUUGUGUAAGGAGCUGGAUGUUCUGCAAUUCAAAAUUAAACUGCACAAUGAUUAAUGGUGGACAAUCUUUUAAUAAGCUUUCACGGUUUAUUUCAAAUAAAUAUGAAACCAUUGAAUGGGAACCGCACCACCAUUCAGUUAUUUUGUAACUCCAGAAGAUUGUAAUGACGUAAUCCUAUUGUUUAAAUGCUAUUGCAAAUUGGGGCAUUAUUUUACUGAAUGGUGAUUAUUUGUGUUCAUAAAAACAAUUUUCAUUUCUAAAUCUGAAAACAAAAAUCACCAUAUGAAAAUAAUAUUUUUUGUGCAUGAAUAUUAACAGUUCCUUGAUUCUUGCUUUAAACGUAAAUAAGUAGAAAUUUCUAUUCUCUAAGUACUUGAUUGUUUGCUUUUAUUUUUUAGUUUCUGAUUGGGACUGGAUAUUCUAAACUAACCUUUCGCGAAGACUAAGGAGCAAAUAGAGGUACAGAGCAUGUGUGUAAUAUGAGAAAAAAGACAAGCAAAUAUUUAUGCCAUUAGGACAUUGGCAAAUUGAGUGAUUAAGUAUGCCAUUGAGAGAUGAAAAACUUAAUCUCAUUUUUAGGAUAUUUUACUCCUACGGAAGAUAAGAACAAAUCUAUAAUAUGUAAUUAAUAAUCUGUAACAGAAAUAGUUGUAAUUGGAUUUGUUUUUUGGGAAAUUGCUGGAUUUUUAUGUGCAAUAAAAUCUGCAGUUUCAGUUUGUCAGGAAUAGCUUAAAUUCUAGGAAAUUAUUGCUUUUUCAAAAAAAAUCUCAGAAAACUGGCAAAAACAGCCGGUUAUUUCUUCAAAAGAACUAAGCACACACUUAAAUGAGAAGGGAAAUAUGGAGGAAUACACUUUACAGACACAAGUUUUGCUUCAUUGUCUGGCUGCUAGCCUUCACUGCGAAAUUUGCACAGUAGCUACUUGGUUCUGAAAUAUCUGCAAUAUAGGGAGUUAGAAGCUUGAAAACGUACACCCUAAAAUUAUACACUCGCAGAGGCAGAGCUUUGUUUUCUGAACAUUGCCAAUUGCUCAACUCCACUCCACCAACAAAAAAUUCCUCCUUUAGGUAAUUAUAUAUUAUAACAUCCCUAAGUUAUAGUAGCUUUUGCUCUCAGCCUUUAUCAUUAAAAUAUUUUCCUCAAUGGCAACCUUUUAUCUGUUUUUUGUUGUUUUUAUUUAUCUUGCAUCUGGAUAGCAUGAGUAUUGUUUUUCUCAUAUGAUGUAUGUAUGAUUAUUCUGAUAUCAAGAUAACGAGUAUUGUAAUUGCUGAUAUAUGUUUAGUUCCUACUACUGCACAUGGUUUGUCUGUAUAUAAUUUAAAACUUGGUAUUUGUUUCAUUAUUUUAUCUUCUUCAGCUUCUUUGCUAUGGAAGACUCGGAUUCAGUUGCUACACUGAUAGAUUCUACUACUUCUAAGAUACAACAGCUGCAGAAGGCAUUUGCUGAACUUGAAAGUUAUCGGGCUGUUACUCUUAACUUGAAAUGGAAAGAACUAGAGGAACAUUUCCAUGGUCUUGAGAAAUCCUUGAAGAGGCGCUUUGAUGAAUUGGAAGACCAAGAGAAAGAGUUUGAAAACAAAACGAGGAAGGCUCGUGAGAUACUGGAGAAGCGGGAAGCAGCUGUUUUUGCUAAGGAGCAAGAUUCGUUGCAGAGGCUUCAAGAGAAAAGAGAUGCUGCUUCAUUUGCCAUUGUAAAUGCUCGAGAAAAGCAGAGGAAGAUUUCAUCACGUGAAUUGGCUACUUUCUCUAAUGGUGGUAAAGGAGGGAUGCCAGGAGUGGAGGAGAAACCAGUGGAUACUUUGUCCACUGCAGCUGAAGGUAAUGUGGAAGAUGUAAAACUUCCUGAUAAUGGAAAUGUGGAGUUGGUAUCUUAUCCAGAGUUGGUAAAACUAUGCAAAGAGAUGGAUGCUGCUGGACUUCACAAAUUCAUAUCUGAUAACCGUAAGAACCUUGCUGCUGUAAGGGAUGAAAUACCAAAUGCUUUAAGAGCUGCUCCUAAUGCUGCCUGUUUAGUUUUAGAUUCUCUGGAAGGAUUUUACUGUACAGAAGUGUCAAAUCAGGACGUAAAGAAGGAUGCUAACUUAUUGGGUCUUCGCCGAACCUGUAUCAUGCUGAUGGAAUGUCUCUGUGAUUUCCUGAGCAGCUCAGGUUUUGUUUCUAAUGUGAUUUCAGAAGAUAUCAAGGACAGGGCAAAAGCAGUUGCUGAAGAAUGGAAACCCAGGCUGGAUGCUCUUGACAUGGAUGCUAGCAAUGGGAAUUCCUUGGAGGCUCAUGCAUUUUUACAACUUCUUGCUAGUUUUGGAAUUGCCUCUGGUUUUGAUGAGGAGGAGUUAUCUAGAUUGAUUCCAAUGGUGUCUCGGCGCCGCCAAACUGCUGAUUUAUGUCGUUUUCUUGGGCUGUCAGAAAAGAUGCCUGGUGUGUAUUUGAUCUUUAUAAUGUUUGACAUGAAUUAAAACAUUACAAGAACUAAAGGAAAUUUGAAAUAUUGAGCCAAAUUUGAUACAAGGAAAAAGUUUUAACAUUCUGUGCAAAAAUUUUCAUCUAAUUGCAUCAUGUGUUAUUUUUCUUUAGUUUUAUUUUUAUUUCAAUAACAAAAACAUGUUCCCUUAAUUUUCAUUUUGUGAUUAAUAUGAUUCUUUGUUAAAGUAUUGACUGUCAAGUGGCUGCCAAAACUAACCAUUUUAGUAACAGGAUUUUUCGAAGUCCUACCAACUUUGAAUAAUUAUUUUCUUAUACUUUGCUAGUCUUCUUGGAUGUUCCUGCAUGCUGGUUCUUGUUAAAUAAUUGAAAGGAAAAGCUAAAGGAAACUUGAAUUGUGAUAGUAUGCUAGGAUAUCUACUGAAAACUGAUGACUCUUAAACUUCCCUGAUAAUGUUUGAAGACAAUUGAAUGGUGUGUAUUAGUAUGCUAGGAUGCCCACUGAAAACUGCUGAUGCAAGUUAUUUAAUAUGAUAUAAAUUAUAUGGUAAGAGAGUUUUGGUUCUUAACAUAUUACAUUGCAGCUUUGAUUGACUCUUUAUUGAGAACCCUUUACUUUUGUUUCUUGGAAGUAUCCCAAAUGGCUUUUAACAUGCAAGUUUCAUACAUGAAAUCUAGCAGUUGUAUCAAUUACAGAGUGAAGCAAUAAAACUAUUGCAUCUGUUUGUUUUAAUGCUUCAUUUUUCUUUUUGGAUAUGCAGGUGUAAUUGAGGUUUUGGUGAACAGUGGGCGACAAAUUGAUGCUGUUAACUUGGCUUUUGCAUUUGAUCUUACUGAACAGUUUUGUCCUGUUUCUUUACUGAAGUCUUACUUGAAAGAUGCUAGAAAAGCUUCUUCUCCUGUUAGAAGUGCUCACUCUUCUCCCACUGCACAGGUGUGUUAUUUAUGUCUGCUAUAUUAAGUAAUUAUUCCCUCCAUUGUCUUCUUUUCACAGUUUGAGCUAGUGAUCUAAUAUUUUGCCAAGCUCUUCUAUUUUCCGUGAAAUUCUUUUUGCCUUGGGUCAUAAUUGCAUACCACUUGUGACAUUUUGCUAGAACAAGACAGUGUAUUAUGUUGUGCUUCUUAUCAUAUAAAACUUUGGAAAAGUUUCUUAGCAGAUACUGAUGGAAACACCAUCACUCUUUAAAAUGUAACCUGGACUGUAGGUAAAGCUGAUGAGCUGGAAGGCCUACAUAUUAUUCAACGUUUGUUUCGGAAAAAGUUGGAGAUGAAGGGGAUUCUCCAAUGGAUAAUAAAUGAAAAGUAUGCUUAGUUCUAUAUAGAAGAACCAUUUAUACUUAGGUUAAAAAGCAAUUUGGUGCAAGAGCCUUAUGAAAGUCUUAAUGGUGUAUAAAAAUAACUAGAUUGUAGAGCUUGCUGUCUUUGUUGUUUAGGACUUAAGGGAUAUGCUUGUUGAGAAAGAUCUCAGAUUCUUAUUCCUUGUACAGUGUACACAGCUUUGGGUUUUCUGUUCAACUUAUGGGUAGUACGUGAUUUAGUUUAUAGUAUACUAGAUGUGACAUGGCAUUUAUAGCACAAGUAUUGCUUUUAUUUAUGUCUGAGAUUCUUUUGUAUUGCAUGGUAAAUUAUUCUAGUAAUUUAUAAUAUUCUUGCUGGAUGUUUGAACUAUGUACAUUUUCAAACAUAUCUCGGGUGAAUUAAAAGGAAAAAAUUGAAAGCAAAUGCUGUUCUUAAAAGCAUCCCUUUUUCGGAAAUAAUUCCACAAAAAGAAGCUGUAUAUGUGUACUGAAAAUAUCAAAUUUUGUCUUUUCUUUUUUCUUUUUACUCCAAAUUUUGUCUUUUCUGAAAUGUAAGAAACACCAAUUGUUAAGAGGUGAUACUAAAUCUACUCCUAUAUUAUGAAUUAGAAUACACAAAUUGGAGAGUGAGACCUUACUUUCUUCACUUUGUCAAUUAGACAUUUUGAAUAUUGCCUCUCGCUCCUUUGGAGGUGUAUUUCACACACUGUCUCUGAUUAGCUAAAAGAAAUUCUUUCAAUCAUCUCAAACUAUUUUCCUUUUAUUUGAUCUUCUUAGUUCAUUCCUCCUUCAAAAUCUACCUUCAUUUAUCUCUACCUGUAAUUUGAUUUUAAUAGUUUUCUUAAAAAGAAAUUGGCUUUUGUGGUAAUAUACUGCUAUUUUCUCUCUUUUAAAUAUUCCUAGUAUCUUUUGUCUCAGAUUGAGGUGAAUGAACGAGAGCUGGUUGCACUUAAGGCUGUAAUCAAGUGCAUUGAAGAACAUAAACUUGAUGAGCAGUAUCCUCUGGAUCCUCUCCAGAAACGAUUGGUGCAGCUAGAGAAGGCCAAAGCAGACAAGAAGAGGGAAACUGAAGCAACAAAGCCUCAACCCAAGAGACCUCGUGCAAAUGGUGUGGGAUACGGUCCACGUGUCACUAACAUUCUUUCGGAUAAAACUUGCUAUGCUAGAGUUGCUGACAGGUAUCCACAAUACGUGUAUGACCGACCACCUUACAUGUACCCUGCACCCACUGAGAAUCAUUGCCCCCCUCUCAUGACCACUGCAACAUAUAACAUCUCUCCCAGCCAUGGCAACUACUUUGGAAAUGGGUAUCAGUACCAAGCCUCAUAUCUCCACUAGAGUUAGCUGAUAUGUGAA
rnacentral:lncRNA from 1 species